rnacentral:rRNA from 1 species
UGGGGAAUAUUGCACAAUGGGCGCAAGCCUGAUGCAGCCAUGCCGCGUGUGUGAAGAAGGCCUUCGGGUUGUAAAGCACUUUCAGCGAGGAGGAAGGUGGUGAACUUAAUACGUUCAUCAAUUGACGUUACUCGCAGAAGAAGCACCGGCUAACUCCGUGCCAGCAGCCGCGGUAAUACGGAGGGUGCAAGCGUUAAUCGGAAUUACUGGGCGUAAAGCGCACGCAGGCGGUUUGUUAAGUCAGAUGUGAAAUCCCCGGGCUCAACCUGGGAACUGCAUUUGAAACUGGCAAGCUAGAGUCUCGUAGAGGGGGGUAGAAUUCCAGGUGUAGCGGUGAAAUGCGUAGAGAUCUGGAGGAAUACCGGUGGCGAAGGCGGCCCCCUGGACGAAGACUGACGCUCAGGUGCGAAAGCGUGGGGCAGCAAACAGGAUUAGAUACCCUGGUAGUCCACGCUGUAAACGAUGUCGAUUUGGAGGUUGUGCCCCUUGAGGCGUGGNUUCCGGAGCUAACGNGUUAAAUCGACCGCC